GACGUAGGGCGCGAGCGUUGUCCGGAUUUAUUGGGCGUAAAGAGCUCGUAGGCGGCUUGUCGCGUCGGCUGUGAAAACCCGCGGCUCAACUGUGGGCGGGCAGCUGAUACGGGCAGGCUGGAGUUCGGUAGGGGAGACUGGAAUUCCUGGUGUAGCGGUGAAAUGCGCAGAUAUCAGGAAGAACACCAAUGGCGAAGGCAGCUCUCUGGGACGGUACUGACGCUGAGACGCGAAAGCGUGGGGAGCGAACAGG
rnacentral:rRNA from 1 species